GAGGCAGGGUGUGGCCAGUCAGUCAGUCAUAUAUAAGAGCAAAGUGAAGUGACGUGAGCCCAGCUGUGAUAUUGUGAACUUUGUUUUAUUGUGUAAUUGUGAAAGUAUACUUGUGUUUUAAGACUUGGAGAGUGAUGGAAUAGUUGCUGCAGAAGGGCUGUGUUGCAUAUUUCUGGUUAACCUCGACAUUGGCGUCUGUCGUCCUCUGAACCUCUGCUUAGUUCCUUGUACAAGGAAAUCCCCAAAGCUGCAAUCUUAGUACAAUUUAUUUCCUAGACUUAUGAGAGUUAAUCUUAACCCUUAUUCAUGCCAAACAUCUCAUUCUCUCAUGUAACUGUACAGUGGCAAUAAGAGUGAGAAACUAAGUGGAGGAAAAAAGGACCUUGUGAUUUUUGGAGACAAGAACUUGAAAGACUUUUGGAGAGUAGGAACUUGAGGGAUAAAAAGAAUCAAGAUGGAUUCUGCUAGUGAGGCGAUGUUUGUAACAGCCCUGGAAUGGCAUGUGCCAGUUUUGCUCUGAGAGAUGUAACAUACAGCACAUUUGCUAUUUUAAUAUACUAAAUUUGAACAUGAAUGGUAUCUACAUCUUUCAUUUUUGGUUUCCCACUGGGACUGGUAGUGCAGGAAUAUGUGUGAGAGGGACUGUUCUAACAAAACUUCCAGCCCAGUUUUGUAGACCAAAGGGGUUUUGAGAAAACACUGAAACAUUUAGGUCCUUAUCUACACUGGAGAGUCUGAAGCUCAGUCCUUCUGAAAAAAGGAAGGCAAGGAACAAGAAGCAGCCAAUGUGACUUUCCCAAUGACUGGUCACAGAUCCAAGGAUUAAAGAAAAAACCCCAAAAACUUUACUAGACAUGGAAAAGGAGGAAAAGCAACCCAUCAAGAACACACUCCACUGAGGAUUGUCAGCAAUGAUCAUUCAGUAGUGAGACAAAUAAGCUGACUGGGUUUUCGUUGAUGAGGAAAUAAGGGAAUACACUAAAAGGCUUUAAUCUUCUAGCAAGUCUUUUUCCAGAACCACAAUAAAGGAUUGAUGUUAUAUUCUAGAUUAAUCAGUCAGACUAAUUCU